GGCCCCGUCGUCUAGCCAGGACUAGGACACAGGCCUUUCAAGCCUGUAACACGGGUUCAAAUCCCGUCGGGGUCA
rnacentral:tRNA from 1 species